UUUGGCUUUGCAUGGUAGAGUUUUAACUUGUACUUGUAGAUGUAGCAACGAACUGUGUUAACUGACAAUGGUUUUCCAAAGUGUUCCUGAGCCCACGUGGUAAUAUCCUUUACAUAAUGAUGUCGUUUUUUAAUGCAGUGCUGCCUGAGGGAUCGAAGGUCACGGGCAUUCUAUGUUGGUUUUCAACCUUGCCAUAUACGUGCAGAGAAUUAUCCAGAUUAUCUGGAUCCUUUGAUGAUAUUAUGGACUGUAGAUGAUGAAAUCCCUAAAUUCCUUGCAAUUGUACAUUGAUAAACGUUUUUUUUAAACUGUUGGACUAUUUGCUCACGCAGUUGUUCACAAAGUGGUGAAACUCGCCCCAUCCUUGCUUGUGAACGACUGAGCCUUUUGGGGAUGCUCCUUUUAUACCCAAUAAUUUAUUUUUAUUUAUUUCAGGUUUAUUUGUCAGGGACAAUGCACACUAACAAUACAUAAAAGUAAAAUGUGGCAGAAUUAGCCUGGAGGCUAUUUUAUAUCCGCUGUCCCUGGACUGGUGGUAAGAGGUCACGCUAAAAUGAGAUAAAACGAUUAAGCAAUCAAUUAAUUAUACAUACAGAUUUGGCCCUAUACAAUAAAAGUUG